rnacentral:rRNA from 1 species
AAGCGCUUGCAACCAGACUUGCAUGCGGUUGAUCAUCCGGUGUUCUCACCGGUGCACUUGACCGUGUACAGGCCAGCAUCGGUUCAGGUGGCGGGAUAAAGGCCUUGGGAAUGUAGCUUCUUUCGGGGAGUGUUAUAGCCCUCGGUGCAAUGCCGCCUACCUAGACCGAGGACCGCGCUUCGGCUAGGAUGCUGGCGUAAUGGUUGUAAGCGA